rnacentral:rRNA from 1 species
AACGAACGCUGGCGGCAGGCCUAACACAUGCAAGUCGAACGCACCGCAAGGUGAGUGGCAGACGAGUGAGUAACACGUGGGGAUCUGCCCAAUGGUACGGAAUAGCUCCGGGAAACUGGAAUUAAUACCGUAUGUGCCCUUCGGGGGAAAGAUUUAUCGCCAUUGGAUGAACCCGCGUCGGAUUAGCUAGUUGGUGAGGUAAAGGCUCACCAAGGCGACGAUCCGUAGUUGGGCUGAGAGGCGGAUCAGACACACUGGGACUGGGACACGGCCCAGACUCCUACGGGAGGAAGCAGUGGGGAAUAUUGGACAAUGGGCGCAAGCCUGAUCCAGCCAUGCCGCGUGAGUGAUGAAGGCCUUAGGGUUGUAAAGCUCUUUCGCCGACGAAGAUAAUGACGGUAGUCGGAGAAGAAGCCCCGGCUAACUUCGUGCCAGCCGCCGCAGUAAUAC